UUCUGAGUAUUUAAGAAUAUAUUUAGUGUAAAGCGGAUUAUUUUUUUCGUUUGGAGUUAUAUUCUGUUUGUGUAUAUGCGGUUCAGUUGACUGUUGAAUAAAAACUUUACUCAAUCGCGUAAAAUGCUAAAUAUUUUUUCUUUUGUAAUAAACAUGACGUGAGAGAAAUUAUAUUCGCGGUACAAAUUUGGAAACGUGUUAAAAACAGUGUUUGCUUAGGGGAUAGGGAUAGGGAUAGGCCCUUAUCCCCCCUUUAUACACAAACGCUAAUUCUUUAUCCGAACAGUAGUUGUCGGUUAUCUAUAAUAACUAGUUAUAACUAUCCCCACCAACACCUCCAUUUUCUAUAUAAAACUACAUAAUAUUUUUCUUAUUCCAUAUUAUCUAUCUAAACGUUAUUUUUCUUAUCUCCGGAAACAACCCAAUUUUCAUCCAAACGCUAUUUUUCUUAUCCUCAUACUUGUACCUAUCCUUAUAAUAACUAGUUCUUGCUUAUACCCGAACCAAACGGUACCUAAGAGUUUGGGGAUUCAUUCGUGUGUAUACAGUUCAGUUGAGUGUUGAAUCAAAAUUUUACUCACCGUGUGAAAUGCUGAAUAUUUUUUCUUUUGUAAUAAAUAUGAUGUGAGGGGAAUUAUAUUUGUGACAAAAAUUUGGAAACGUGUUAAGAGUUUGGGGAUU
rnacentral:lncRNA from 1 species